GUUAAGCGACUAAGCGUACACGGUGGAUGCCCUGGCAGUCAGAGGCGAUGAAGGACGUGCUAAUCUGCGAUAAGCGUCGGUAAGGUGAUAUGAACCGUUAUAACCGGCGAUUUCCGAAUGGGGAAACCCAGUGUGUUUCGACACACUAUCAUUAACUGAAUCCAUAGGUUAAUGAGGCGAACCGGGGGAACUGAAACAUCUAAGUACCCCGAGGAAAAGAAAUCAACCGAGAUUCCCCCAGUAGCGGCGAGCGAACGGGGAGCAGCCCAGAGCCUGAAUCAGUGUGUGUGUUAGUGGAAGCGUCUGGAAAGGCGCGCGAUACAGGGUGACAGCCCCGUACACAAAAAUGCACAUGCUGUGAGCUCGAUGAGUAGGGCGGGACACGUGGUAUCCUGUCUGAAUAUGGGGGGACCAUCCUCCAAGGCUAAAUACUCCUGACUGACCGAUAGUGAACCAGUACCGUGAGGGAAAGGCGAAAAGAACCCCGGCGAGGGGAGUGAAAAAGAACCUGAAACCGUGUACGUACAAGCAGU
rnacentral:rRNA from 1 species